CGGCAAGAGCUCAAAUUUGAAAUCUGGCUCCUUUGGAGUCCGAGUUGUAAUUUGUAGAGGGUGCUUUGGUGUCGGCCAUGGCCUAAGUUCCUUGGAACAGGACGUCACAGAGGGUGAGAACCCCGUACGUGGCUGCUGGCCUUCACCAUGUAAAGCCCCUUCGAC
rnacentral:rRNA from 1 species